rnacentral:rRNA from 1 species
ACACGGUCCAGACUCCUACGGGAGGCAGCAGUGGGGAAUAUUGCACAAUGGGCGCAAGCCUGAUGCAGCCAUGCCGCGUGUGUGAAGAAGGCCUUCGGGUUGUAAAGCACUUUCAGCGGGGAGGAAGGCGUUAAGGUUAAUAACCUUGGCGAUUGACGUUACCCGCAGAAGAAGCACCGGCUAACUCCGUGCCAGCAGCCGCGGUAAUACGGAGGGUGCAAGCGUUAAUCGGAAUUACUGGGCGUAAAGCGCACGCAGGCGGUCUGUCAAGUCGGAUGUGAAAUCCCCGGGCUCA